rnacentral:rRNA from 1 species
AUUGAACGCUGGCGGCAGGCCUAACACAUGCAAGUCGAGCGGAGCGGCGGACGGGUGAGUAAUGCCUAGGAAUCUGCCUGGUAGUGGGGGACCACGUCCGGAAAUGGGCGCUAAUACCGCAUACUAAUAGAUGAGCCUCGGUCGGAUUAGCUAGUUGGGGGGGUAAAGGCCUAACAAGGCGACGAUCCGUAACUGGUCUGAGAGGAUGAUCAGUCACACUGGAGCUGAGACGCGGUCCAGACUCCUACGGGAGGCAGCAGUGGGGAAUAUUGGGCAAGGGACGAAAGCCUAAUCCAGCCAUGCCGCGUGAGUUAAGAAGGUCUUCGGAUGGUAAAGCACUUUAAGUUGGGAGGCGGUACCAACAGAAUAAGCACCGGCUAACUUCGUGCCAGCAGCCGCGGUAAUAC